UGGGAAAUGCAUACAAAUGACUUCUUUUAGAGAACCACUGAAUGGAAUAAAACCAAACAUAGCAUGAAUGUUCCUUAUGAGGUGCUGACCAAGUGUUGUUACUUUGUAGCCGAUCCAUCAUCCAAGAUGGCCGCCAGCAGGGGACUUAGUUUAACAUAGGACCCUAUGGGAAAUGCAUACAAUGAUGACUCUUUUAGAGAACCACUGAAUGGAAUGAAACCAAACAUGGCAUGAAUGUUCCUUAUGAGGUGCUGACCAAGUGUUGUUACUUUGUAGCCGAUCCAUCAUCCAAGAUGGCCGCCAGCGGGG
rnacentral:lncRNA from 1 species